rnacentral:rRNA from 1 species
GUAGGUGAACCUGCGGAAGGAUCAUUCACACUAUGAUUUCACAAUCAAUACCUUGACUCUAUUGAGACAAAUCGGGUGCAAGUUUGGAAACAGAUUUGCACUUCUGAGAACCUCUUUUACUACUUCGUUUGAGUAGUAUUAUCUAGACCCAAUAUUUUUCAAAACUGAAAAAUUUUCAACGGCGGAUAUCUUGGUUCCCAUAACGAUGAAGAACGUAGCAAAGUACGAUAAGCAAUGCGAAUUGCAGAAUUCAGUGAAUCAUCAGAAAUUUGAACGCAAAUUGCACUUGAGGGAAAUGCCUUCAAGUAUGCUUGUUUCAGUGUCAGUUUACCAACUGUAAACAAUCAUAUUGUGAUUGAGUUCGCUCUUUCAUUAAAUGAGACUUCUUGCAAUGUAGCAGUCCUGCUUGCAACUGAUUCAGUGUACACAUUGAAUCCGGUUGUCAAACGGUGACACUCCAAAUGCAACAUUGCGGAGUGGAGAGAGUCGCAAGACGAUCUUCUUAAAUCGAGCACAAUGAGAGUUGUGUUUGCUUUUACUCUGUAUCUGAAAUCAAGUAAGAAUACCCGCUGAACUUAAGCAUAUCACUA